rnacentral:rRNA from 1 species
UCGGGAAUUUUGGGCAAUGGGCGAAAGCCUGACCCAGCAACGCCGCGUGAAGGAUGAAGUAUUUCGGUAUGUAAACUUCGUAAGAAUAGGAAGAAUAAAUGACGGUACUAUUUGUAAGGUCCGGCUAACUACGUGCCAGCAGCCGCGGUAAUACGUAGGGACCAAGCGUUGUUCGGAUUUACUGGGCGUAAAGGGCGCGUAGGCGGUGUGUCAAGUCAGUUGUGAAAUCUCCGAGCUUAACUCGGAACGGUCAGAUGAUACUGCUUUGCUAGAGUGCAGAAGGGGCAAUCGGAAUUCUUGGUGUAGCGGUGAAAUGCGUAGAUAUCAAGAGGAACACCUGAGGUGAAGACGGGUUGCUGGGCUGACACUGACGCUGAGGCGCGAAAGCCAGGGGAGCAAACGGGAUUAGAUACCCAUGUAGUCCCUGAGCGGGCUGGCAAGGCGCAU